CUCUUCCCAUUCCGAACAGAGAAGUUAAGCCCGACCGCGCCGAUGGUACUGCGUAACAGUGGGAGAGUAGGUAGCCGCCGUCU
rnacentral:rRNA from 1 species